rnacentral:rRNA from 1 species
CACUAAACCUAAAGGCGCAAUGAAAGUGAAGGUACGCCUCGAGCGGACCGAGGGAGGAUGGGCGGCGGCUUCUGACGCCGCCCCGCACUCCCGGGGCGUCUCGCACUCAUCGCGAGGCGAGGCGCACCACGAGCGUACACGCUGGGACCCGAAAGAUGGUGAACUAUGCCUGGUCAGGACGAAGUCAGGGGAAACCCUGAUGGAGGUCCGUAGCGAUUCUGACGUGCAAAUCGAUCGUCGGAACUGGGUAUAGGGGCGAAAGACUAAUCGAACCAUCUAGUAGCUGGUUCCCUCCGAAGUUUCCCUCAGGAUAGCUGGCACUCGAGCGAACUGUACUUUGCACGAGUCUCAUCCGGUAAAGCGAAUGAUUAGAGGCAUUGGGGUCGAAACGGCCUCAACCUAUUCUCAAACUUUAAAUGGGUGAGAUCUCCGGCUUGCUUGACGUGAAGCCGGAGAUCGGAUCAACGGGUGCCAAGUGGGCCACUUUUGGUAAGCAGAACUGGCGCUGUGGGAUGAACCAAACGUCGAGUUAAAGCGCCAAAAUCGACGCUUAUGGGACACCAUGAAAGGCGUUGGUAACUUAAGACAGCAGGACGGGUGGCCAUGGAAGUCGGAAUCCGCUA